rnacentral:lncRNA from 1 species
CACGGAGUGCGCCUCGCUGCCGCACACACACUCCGCCCUCAUUUUACCAACAGGACUGCUCAUCCGCACGGAGUGUCUGCGCGGUGGACCAGACCCGGUCUCCCUGCGGGCGCAUGAGGCCAGCAGCCCCCUGCAGACGAGGUUAUGUGGGAGAAUCUGACGUCCUGGGCAGUGCGGAAAACGUGCAGGUGCUCAGUCCUGUCCUGCAGAAACGCUGGGCUGGGAGCCCUGACGGGAGCGGGUUUGAGGGCACAGCAGGGCGACUCCAGAGAGCAGCACACGGCACACACAGCCAGAGCUGGAGAAGUCUGAAAACUUUCUCCAUGAAGAAAUUGUAAAUGUCUGGGGAGAUGGAUGUGCUUUCCCUGAUUUAAACACACACAAUGUAUACAUGCAUCAAACCAUUCUGCAGCACCCCAUGAAUAUGCAAUUUUUAUGUUUUUAUGUAUCAGUGAAACAGUAAAUAUAAAAAAUAUAAAAAACCAAACAUCGCCUACAAAAGGAAAGAAAUAUACUGUGAUAUAUGUUACAUCUACUUAUAUAUAAUUUUCAUUCACUGGUCGCUACAUCAAAACGUUGUAGUGAAAUUAAUUUUGAUAUACAUUGUUUUUAGUCUUAACGAGUUGGAAAUACCCUCUCUUAGCAUGCGGCUAAUAUUUAAGAAGCGCAG